AAAAUCACCUUUUUUUUAUGAAUAAAGCCCCAUAAAUCCAAAACUUAAAAUCUGAAAUUUAUUAAAAUUGAAAGGGAGCUUACAUCAAUAGAUAUAAACAAUUCACCAAAGUUUCAUGGACAUUGGUGAAAGCCUUUUUGAGUUAUUGUCCGAAGUGUUAAAAAUCACCCUUUUUUUUAUGAAUAAAGCCCCAUAAAUCCAAAACUUAAAAUCUGAAAAUUAAAAAAAAAACGAAAGGGAGCUUACAUCAAUAGAUAUAAACAAUUCACCAAAGUUUCAUGGACAUUGGUGAAAGCCUUUUUGAGUUAUUGUCCGAAGUGUUGAAAAUCCCCCUUUUUUAUGAAUAAAGCCCCAUAAAUCCAAAACUUAAAAUCUGAAAUUUAUAAAAAAACGAAAGGGAGCUUACAUCAAUAGAUAUAAACAAUUCACCAAAGUUUCAUGGACAUUGGUGAAAGCCUUUUUGAGUUAUUGUCCGAAGUGUUGAAAAUCCCCCCUUUUUAUGAAUAAAGCCCCAUAAAUCCAAAACUUAAAAUCUGAAAUUAAAAAAAAAAACGAAAGGGAGCUUACGUCAAUAGAUAUAAACAAUUCACUUAAGUUUCAUGGAAAUUGGUGAAAGUGUUUUUGAGUUAUUGUCCGAAGUGUGGACGACGGACAGACAGACGGACGGACAACGGUAUACCAUAAUACGUCCCGUC
rnacentral:lncRNA from 1 species